rnacentral:rRNA from 1 species
AUUGAACGCUGGCGGCAUGCUUUACACAUGCAAGUCGAACGGUAACAGGCCUUCGGGUGCUGACGAGUGGCGAACGGGUGAGUAAUGCAUCGGAACGUACCCAGAGUUGGGGGAUAACGCAGCGAAAGCUGUGCUAAUACCGCAUGUGAUCUGAGGAUGAAAGCGGGGGACCGAGCAGCAAUGUUUGGCCUCGCGCCUUUGGAGCGGCCGAUGUCGGAUUAGCUAGUUGGUGGGGUAAGGGCCUACCAAGGCGACGAUCCGUAGCUGGUCUGAGAGGACGACCAGCCACACUGGGACUGAGACACGGCCCAGACUCCUACGGGAGGCAGCAGUGGGGAAUUUUGGACAAUGGGCGCAAGCCUGAUCCAGCAAUGCCGCGUGCGGGAAGAAGGCCUUCGGGUUGUAAACCGCUUUUGGCAGGAACGAAACGGUGUCCGCUAAUACCGGGCGCUAAUGACGGUACCUGCAGAAUAAGCACCGGCUAACUACGUG